GAGUGAAUGCGAGAGUGAGUUGGCGCGUGGAUGGCUCCUCCGUGAAUCGACGCCGCGGCAACGGAAUAACGGUGACUUUUGGCGCGCAGCCCUUGUGCCGGAACGCGUUGGUUGUGCUUGGAUGUUGCUCGAAAGGCACUGCUGGGCGGACGUCGAAUAUCUCGUCACAGACGGCGCGGCUCCUAUGCAGGGCACUUCUAUCCCGGCUCGCCUACGAUAAUCCCCCUUGUUCCGAAAGGCCAUCUUCCGCGUCCUCGCUUGCAGUCUCUUGGCAAUCAACGCUCACAGGCGUGCGACGGAUUAUGGACGGCCUGUGAGCCAUCAUCGCCCGGCAACUUGAAACAUCGACGAAAGAAGACUCGAGUUACGCGACAAAAGAGCUUCCCCGUCGAUGCACUUAGCGACUAAGAAAGGACUUAAGAAAGGCUGGCCCUCUAAGCUGGAGCUUCUAAUUACCUGUUUUGCGUCUAGCAGAAGACAAAGACCCGAGCAGACGAAAAAAGUGGUGAAAACGAACGAGCAGACGACAGAAAAACAAAAGCAAAUGCGUGAAGCAAAUCAGAGCGUGCGCUUCGAGGGCUUUAAUCUCCUGUUUACUCUCAAUAGACGAUAAAGAGUCGUCUGGAGCAGUAGCCCUAACCAGAAGUCCAGAAGUUCCAGAAGUCCUAACUGACAGACGGCGGUGACGGAAGCAGCAGAAGACAGCUAGGAACGUCUUGCUGAUGUUCCAGACGAAAACUGGUUGAUCGCUGCUUCAACCUCCGGGUAGCUUGAAGGCUUUUAGGACGAGAAUAACCGCUGCGUUAACCUAGUGUUUUAACAGGGUCGAGGGAGGAAAAGCGAAGUGCAGACAGAAGGCCUGGAGUGUGUCGAUAAAACACGAACUUUGUGCAGCCAACGUCUUUCGAAAAUAACGAGGCGCUUUUGGCGUUUCAUCGAGGUUCCUUUUGGGAUCGAAUACCUCUUUUUACUAUACUCAGGGUGGUGUUUAAGGCAACUGAAGAAAGGACCCAUUGUGCACGCGAUAACGAGAAAUUGAGGGGGGACGGUGAACAGACGACAGAGGAGCUUCCAGAAACGGACGGCCUUUCUUGCGAGGAGCAAAUUCACAAACCACUAUGUCUGUUCGUACGCCGCCGGGUCCGAACAUGGAGUACGGCCACAACAGAGUCCUAACCUGGCUCCAAGACUGGAUGAGUGUAAGCACGGUGGACGAUGAGAACCUCGGGCCACCGCCGAUGAACCACUACGCCACCAUCUCGUCGCUGGGUCACCGCUCCGUGCGCUCGGCUCCAAGGGACUACGUGGACCCGGACUACGU